UGGGCUUUACGGGUUUAAUUGUAGUGGCUCCCGACAUUCAUUAAGUGCCCAAUUGAAAUUAAUAGCCACGCUCUUCGUCUUCAAGGAAUUGCGACUCCAUUUCUAGGGUUUAUUUUGUUCUUCAGCCUCUGAUUUUAUCGUCCUUCUUCUUCGAUCUCUAACAAUGGAGUUCCAGGAUGGUGUGAUAGUCGAAUCGUCAUUAGAAAUCUUUGGGUCGAGCUUUGUUGGCGUCGUUUCGUGUUAGGUUCUUCUCUCUCAAACAUAACGGGAUCCAUUAAGGUCGCCAUUAACAGCCAUCUUUACUCCUUCAACCCACAGAUCAAUCGUUCAAUGCAUAUUAUCUCUCUGGAGGCGGUGGAUAUACACCUAUAAAAGGAGCCUCUGCUAACUGGAUCGUUCCUCUGUGCCCAUCAUAUUGGUAAUGCCUGAUUGAUCAGGCAAUAAGCUUUAUAAUCAAGUACGAAGCCAUGGAUAAAGAUUACUAGGGAGAUCAAGCGUUGAUCAUAGGUGGAGCAAUAGAGUUUGUGAGAGAGCUGGAGCACCUUCUACAAUGCCUAGAGUUAAUAAAAGCGUCGGAGAAUCCUUGGAGAAACCGUUAAUAGGCAAAUUAGAGACAUGACCACGACAAUGUCUUCUUCUUCACUAAUAACUUCAGUUGCUUACCCGGUAAUUAUUUCUGGAAAUGUAACUGAACAGAGGGUGGCGGAGGAGGCCUCGGUAGGAAACAGCACAAAAGCCCGUGCUUGCCUGAUGUGGAGGUGAAGCUGCUAAGGUUUGAUGCCAUGAUCAAGAUACUUUCAAGAAGAAGACCAGACAACUGAUACUAUUGCUGUUUUGGAGGAUCUUUAUCUCUCUAUUCUUCACACAAACUUCACUACCAUGGAACAAACCGUCAUGUACUUUAAUGGCAAGGCAAAUUUCACCUUCGUAAAUUAUAAUCAUACGCAUUUAUAUGUAUAGUACAUCCUACAUAUAAAGUUUCUUACCAUAUGAUUGGAUUGCUUUAAUUAAAAUAUGCAUAUUAUAGUAAGCUACAAGGAAAAGUGGACGUUGAAGGUUUCCUCCCAGCACAAACUGCCAUAGACGCAAUUAAGGACUCCAUGGAUCUUUACGCAGCUUACAUCAAAGCUGUCUUGCAACGUUAAUGAACAUACCAGUCAAAUCCGUUCCUCCAGGUUUGCUUUCAUACCUUCUCAGGUUCUCUGGAGAACAUCCUGUUUAUGAAUUUGAAUUUAAUCCAUUUCGUUUAGAUUCAAGGUCUUAUGUUGAAAUCCGUAUGAAUUUUAGUCAACACGGAUCUGUGCGGAUCGUUGUCAAUCAAGAUAAGAAAA